CUGUAACAGAUUUUCAAGAAAUAUUUGUCAAUGAAAAAAAUGAAAGAAAUUCCUCAGGUUUUCAAGAUGAAAAACUAAACAAAAUGUGAAGAAUCAGUUUGUGACUAUCCAGUGACCAAAAUUGGCUCAAUUAACAAUAUAGACCGAGGGUUCUUUACAGAACUAUGCUUGUCCCAGAGUUCAGAAGGAGCUACCUGCAGGGAAGAAUUUCAUUUCAUGCAUCUAAAUAUUCAUAAAACCUGAGUCAAGGACUGAAUUGGUCCCUUAUUUAGCCUCUCCAGAGAACCACGUUUCAACUCUUUCCUUGAUGAGAAUUUGCCAUUGAUACUCUCUUAUUGCGGAAGUAGCGGCUUCUGUCAGCUACACCUUGAGUUAUGAUCUGUCUUUUACUGACUUCAUAGUAGGAAGCUCCUUAGAGCAAGAACUUCAUUGUUAUUCAAAUUGUUCAAGCUAAGGUCUUUCAUACUGCCUAUACUAGUGGCGCCUUGUGAAGAAAAACAACAAAAGUCAUAUCAGGUCACCUUAGGAUUUUUCCUUUCUUACUUCGACUGUUUCCAAAGCAUCAUAACGUUCCUGGUUCCAUUUAGUGUACAUACACUGGCAGAGAAUCAAAAAGAAGGUAAGUGGAGCCCAAGUAGGCAGUUUCCCUAGUAAUUUGGCCUCUCAACUGUGUGAAUCCCAGUUAUCGCUGCAAAAUUGCCUCUUGCUCUUCCCCAGGUGAGUCUCAAUCCAGGGACAUCACUUUCCAAGGAUGCUUCUGUGCCCCUCCCUCAGUUCUAGAGUUCCCAUUUGUCUUCUUUCUCUUCUGCCAAGUUGUCUGCAGUCACUGGAUAUGAGCAAUGAAAGAUGGCAUACAAAAGACAACUUUGAAGAGAUGAACAGCUCAAUUUUUACCAAGGUCUUUUCUUGGGCUCUAACAUGGUGAAAGAGAGAGUUGUAAAAAUUGAAGUUAUCACAGGAAGAAAAGAGCAGUAACUUAAAACAAUGUGUUUAAAAUUAACAAUAAAAUUUAAAAUGCUGACA
rnacentral:lncRNA from 1 species